GCGGAAGGAUCAUUCACA
rnacentral:rRNA from 1 species